GGUUUGGCACCUGCCUUCGGCCCAGGGUGUGAUCCUGGAGUCCUGAGAUCGAGUCCCACAUCAGGUUCCCUGCGUGGAGCCUGCUUCUCCCUCUGCCUGUGUCUCUGCCUCUCUCUCUCUCUCUCUCUCUGUGUAUGUGUGUCUUUCAUGAAUAAAUAAAUAAAAUCUUUAAAAAAUAGACUUUGAAGCUGUUAUUUCUACUUUAUUUUCUCAUAUGUGAAUAAAAUUACAGAAUAAACAUGACUGACUAUGAAAUAAAUUAAAUCACAGAAUGGUAAAAGAAAGUUGCCAAGAGUAAAUAUAGAGAGCAGUCUUGCUACCCCUAAAGGUUUUCUGCAUUUAUUAUAAGCAUUUAUUAGACAAGCCUGAAAAAAAUUCCUUCUCAUAGGUGCCCUGAGAUUGGUUGAAUCACUAUUAUAAAACAUGUCUGGUAGGCUUGCUAAAGUGUAUGCAGGGCUAUAUGUCAUGAAGAAUUUAUCUCAGGGUGUUAAAAGUGAUUUGAGAAUCCCAUUAAAAGAAAUAACCUUAAUCAUCCACAAUAACAUUACAUUAAUUAUUGAUAAAUCUAAUCAGUAGUCUGAAAUUGCUCACAUCUAAUAUUAAUCAGAAAGGCAGAUGAAUUCCCAGCAUGAUGACAUGCUCUUUGUGCCUUCAAGUACCUUUAUAGUGUUAUUAUUUACAUGUUCCUGAGUCAGAGAAAAUUUAUCUGAUUGAAAAUCAGAAAGAUUAGAUCCUUCAAAGAUAUGAUCCCACUGUGUUUGGGUUCUACUCUCAAAAUUGGUAUAUACAGUAUUGUCAAUUCAUGGAAAAAUGUAACUUCAGCAUUUUUUGUUUUAAACUGAUUUUCUUAUAAAGUCAAAUUAUCUUAAUAUAUUUAUUUUUAUCUUGAUUUCAAAAAGCAAAUGGAGAGAAAGGGAGAGAGAACUGUAUGCUGAAUGGCAAUAUACCCAUAAUGCAGCUUGAGAGUAAUCUUUUUUGGCCACCAUGGAUGAACAGAACAGUUCUCUGUAUUCCAUCUCUAAUUGAUUGGCAGCUACUUCUUGAUGGGCAUUCUGAGGCUGCCUCUAAACUCAGGAAGUGGAGAAAGCCACAGUUCAUUAGUGAUGUAUGCCAUGGGCUGAAGAGUGGGGACAGGACGAGCAUCAGAUAUUUGUCAUUUCUGACUUAAGUCAUCCCCAUGACAGGAACAUCCGUAUAUGUCUUUGCUUCUCUAAGUUCUAACUUUUUCAGAGAUUCAGCUCAAAUUGCACGUCUUUUGUAAGUAUCCUAUCUGCAAUAAUCGCUACCUUUUCCCAUCGGGCUUACAACCCGAAUCUCUUCUUUACUACUAAUAUAUGCCACUUAUACGUAUACAACUUCUAGGUCCUGUGAUGUCAACUAUAGUGUGCUUCUUUUCAGAACAGAGACUUCUGUAUGCAUUGAUUAUUCAUGGUUUUAAAUAAUCCAUGAUAGCAAUACUUUACAUUUUUUAUCAUUUUAUAUUUUGACAUAUUAAACCCAUUAAGAUUUAGUUUUGUGUGGCUUUAUCAGAAUCAUGUAUUAAUAUAUUGAAUAUC
rnacentral:lncRNA from 12 species